AAAACAAACGUUCCCGUACGAUCAUCGAAGUUAAGCAACUUUGAGCCUCGUCAGUACUUAGAUGGGUGACCGUUUGGGAAUACCAGAUGCU